rnacentral:ncRNA from 2 species
UGGUAGACUAUGGAACGUAGGC